GAUGGACUCAAACAUUUGUCUACUACUGCUUUUUUCUUUUCUUUUCAAAUUGAACCUUCCUGGCAAGUGGCGAAACACCUGUGAAGCUAAUUGGCAGCAGCAGAUUGUGCUGUGCUAAAGGAGUGGGUGUUCUGGAAGCUUGGUUUGUGUUGGAGAUUUGAUGCUGAUGUGGGCUCUGUAAUGCACUUGCUUAAUUUCCCCUUCAAGGAUGAGGUACUCACUCCCCCAGCUGCCAGUGUUGGCUGCUGAGGACUCAGCUGAGCCGCUCUUCAAACACUGCCUGUGGCUGAAGAGAGCCACCCAUCAUGAGCUGCGGUCUUUCAGUUGCUCUGUCUGAUACGAAUGGCAUCAUUGUCUGGCAACCUGAUGAGAGAUCUAUUUUGGAGGUGAAUGCAAGAGAUGAGGGUUCUGAUGGCCUACCUCAUGUCCUGGCUUUGCCACAUGGUUGGAUGACUUAGGUAAGUCACUUUAUCCUGUCUGCAUCUCAGUCUCUUCAUGAAUAAAAUUGACAUAAUCAGACCUGCUGUUUUCCCUUACAAGGCUCUUGGAAGGAUGAAACAAGGCAAAGGAUGUGCAAAUGCUCAUAGUGCCAGAGAGCUCUAUAGUGUAAGCAUCACUAGGAUCUAUAGUGUAAGCCAGAGAACUGGCUAGGGUGGAAAGGUAGAAGGCAGG